rnacentral:rRNA from 1 species
CUUAACACAUGCAAGUCGAGCGGUAACAGGAGAAAGCUUGCUUUCUUGCUGACGAGCGGCGGACGGGUGAGUAAUGUAUGGGGAUCUGCCCGAUAGAGGGGGAUAACUACUGGAAACGGUGGCUAAUACCGCAUAAUGUCUACGGACCAAAGCAGGGGCUCUUCGGACCUUGCACUAUCGGAUGAACCCAUAUGGGAUUAGCUAGUAGGUGGGGUAAAGGCUCACCUAGGCGACGAUCUCUAGCUGGGCUGAGAGGAUGAUCAGCCACACUGGGACUGAGACACCGCCCAGACUCCUACGGGAGGCAGCAGUGGGGAAUAUUGCACAAUGGGCGCAAGCCUGAUGCAGCCAUGCCGCGUGUAUGAAGAAGGCCUUAGGGUUGUAAAGUACUUUCAGCGGGGAGGAAGGUGAUAAGGUUAAUACCCUUGUCAAUUGACGUACCC